ACUCAAAUGAAUUGACGGGCACCCGCACAAGCGGUGGAGCAUGCUGUUUAAUUCGAAGAUACGCGAAGAACCUUACCUAGACUUGACAUCCCCGGCAAUGCUAUAGAGAUAUAGCGGAGGUUACCCGGGAGACAGGUGGUGCAUGGUUGUCGUCAGCUCGUGUCGUGAGAUGUUCGGUUAAGUCCGUUAACGAGCGCAACCCUCAUCCUUAGUUACUAACUAUUUGGUAGAGGACUCUAAGGAUACUGCCGGUGAUAAACCGGAGGAAGGUGGGGAUGAUGUCAAAUCAUCAUGCCCCUUACGUCUAGGGCUACAGGCGUGCUACAAUGGCCAAUACAAAGAGAUGCAAUAUCGUAAGAUGGAGCAAAUCUUCAAAGUUGGUCUCAGUUCGGAUUGAGGUCUGCAACUCGACCUCAUGAAGCUGGAAUCGCUAGUAAUCCUGAAUCAGAAUGUCAGGGUGAAUACGUUCCCGGGUGUUGCACACACCGCCCGU
rnacentral:rRNA from 1 species